rnacentral:rRNA from 1 species
AGUGAACGCUGGCGGUAGGCCUAACACAUGCAAGUCGAACGGCAGCACAGUAAGAGCUUGCUCUUACGGGUGGCGACUGGCGGGUGGGUGAGGAGUACAUCGGAAUCUACUUUUUCGUGGGGGAUAACGUAGGGACACUUACGCUAAUACCGCAUACGACCUACGGGUGAAAGCAGGGGAUCUUCGGACCUUGCGCGAUUGUAUGAGCCGAUGUCGGAUUAGCUAGUUGGCGGGGUAAAGGCCCACCAAGGCGACGAUCCGUAGCUGGUCUGAGAGGAUGAUCAGCCACACUGGAACUGAGACACGGUCCAGACUCCUACGGGAGGCAGCAGUGGGGAAUAUUGGACAAUGGGCGCAAGCCUGAUCCAGCCAUACCGCGUGGGUGAAGAAGGCCUUCGGGUUGUAAAGCCCUUUUGUUGGGAAAGAAAAGCAGCAGGUUAAUACCUCGCUGUUCUGACGGUACCCAAAGAAUAAGCACCGGCUAACUUCGUG